rnacentral:rRNA from 1 species
AAAGGCCGGAAUGGAUUUAAAGAGCUUGCUCUUAUGAAGUUAGCGGCGGACGGGUGAGUAACACGUGGGUAACCUGCCCAUAAGACUGGGAUAACUCCGGGAAACCGGGGCUAAUACCGGAUAACAUUUUGAACCGCAUGGUUCGAAAUUGAAAGGCGGCUUCGGCUGUCACUUAUGGAUGGACCCGCGUCGCAUUAGCUAGUUGGUGAGGUAACGGCUCACCAAGGCAACGAUGCGUAGCCGACCUGAGAGGGUGAUCGGCCACACUGGGACUGAGACACGGCCCUGACUCCUACGGGAGGCAGCAUUAGGG